rnacentral:rRNA from 1 species
GACGUAGGAGGCGAGCGUUGUCCGGAUUCAUUGGGCGUAAAGAGCUCGUAGGCGGUCUGUCACGUCGGAUGUGAAAAUCCAGGGCUCAACCCUGGACCUGCAUUCGAUACGGGCAGACUAGAAUUCGGUAGGGGAGACUGGAAUUCCUGGUGUAGCGGUGAAAUGCGCAGAUAUCAGGAGGAACACCGGUGGCGAAGGCGGCUUCUGGACAGUAACUGACGCUGAGGCGCGAAAGCUAGGGAGCAAACAGGAUUAGAAACCC